rnacentral:rRNA from 1 species
CCUACGUGCGGCAGCAGUGAGGAAUAUUGGUCAAUGGGCGCGAGCCUGAACCAGCCAAGUAGCGUGAAGGAUGACUGCCCUACGGGUUGUAAACUUCUUUUAUAAAGGAAUAAAGUGAGGCACGUGUGCCUUUUUGUAUGUACCUUAUGAAUAAGGAUCGGCUAACUCCGUGCCAGCAGCCGCGGUAAUACGGAGGAUCCGAGCGUUAUCCGGAUUUAUUGGGUUUAAAGGGUGCGUAGGCGGCCUUUUAAGUCAGCGGUGAAAGUCUGUGGCUCAACCCCGGCCUGCCGUCGGAACUGGGUGCCUUGAGUGGGCGAGAAGUAUGCGGAAUGCGUGGUGUAGCGGUGAAAUGCAUAGAUAUCACGCAGAACCCCGAUUGCGAAGGCAGCAUACCGGCGCCCUACUGACGCUGAGGCACGAAAGUGCGGGUAUCGAACAGGAUUAGAUACCCCAGUAGUC